rnacentral:rRNA from 1 species
CCCUUAGAUGUUCUGGGCCGCACGCGCGCUACACUGAUGCAUUCAACGAGUUUCUUCCUGGUCCGAGAGGAAUGGGUAACCUUUUGAAAGUGCAUCGUGAUAGGGAUAGACUAUUGCAAUUAUUGGUCUUCAACGAGGAAUUCCUAGUAGACGUAGUUCAUCAGACUGCAUCGAUUACGCCCCUGCCCUUUGUACACACCGCCCGUCGCUCCUACCGAUUGAAUGCUCAGGUGAGCCAUUCGGACUUUCAUCAUGCUGGUUUCCAGUUUUGAUGAAGGAAAGUCUUGCGAACCUUAUCAUUUAGAGGAAGGAGAAGUCGUAACA